ensembl:lncRNA
GCUAAAGGGCCACUUGGCAAGUAGCCACAGAGUAAUGGACACUGUGAAACAGCAUGGCAGGAAUUCCAGAGUCACAGCACAGCCCCUUGUGACGUUUGUUCAUCUCUAACCAUGAAGUAGCCCAAGUAACAGGUUACUAAGGAAGCUGACACUUAGCCUUUUCGGCUAAGGGCCAGGGGGGAAAAUGAAAGGAGAAAGCCUCCCCUGGGAAAAAAGGGAGUGAUCCCAUUAUAAAUGAGAGUCAUACAGCAUCCUUCUGGAGGCAUGUUGAAAUUUCCCAUGGGAGGAAGAAGAAUAAACAAAGGCAGAAUGGAAGGAAUACUUAACAGGCCUGGAUUUACUGGGAAGGCCAAAAUGCCUGUGUAUGUUUCCUGCCUUUCCCCAAGUGGUAUUUGCAAUUCAUGUUUCUCCAGUGGAGUGCCACAGUCUCUCUCCAGCUGCUCAAAUCUGCAUGCUAGGUUUGGGCAGCAGAGAGAAAACAAUAUGCAGUGGUAACCAUAGUGAGUGAUGACUUGAACCAUGAAGGAAGAGUUGGCAAGCAAAAUAAAGUCAAACAACGUCAUGAUUCA